CCAGAGAACUUAGCAGAGAUGCUUUGGUGCCUUCGGGAACUCUGAGACAGGUGCUGCAUGGCUGUCGUCAGCUCGUGUUGUGAAAUGUUGGGUUAAGUCCCGCAACGAGCGCAACCCUUUAUCCUUUGUUGCCAGCGGCUCGGCCGGGAACUCAAAGGAGACUGCCGGUGAUAAACCGGAGGAAGGUGGGGAUGACGUCAAGUCAUCAUGGCCCUUACGGCCAGGGCUACACACGUGCUACAAUGGCGCAUACAAAGAGAAGCGACCUCGCGAGAGCAAGCGGACCUCACAAAGUGCGUCGUAGUCCGGAUUGGAGUCUGCAACUCGACUCCAUGAAGUCGGAAUCGCUAGUAAUCGUAGAUCAGAAUGCUACGGUGAAUACGUUCCCGGGCCUUGUACACACCGCCCGUCACACCAUGGGAGUGGGUUGCAAAAGAAGUAGGUAGCUUAACCUUCGGGAGGGCGCUUACCACUUUGUGAUUCAUGACUGGGGUGAAGUCGUAACAAGGUAGGCGUAGCGAG
rnacentral:rRNA from 1 species